UACGUAGGGUGCAAGCGUUGUCCGGAAUUAUUGGGCGUAAAGAGCUCGUAGGCGGUCUGUCGCGUCGGCUGUGAAAUCCCGAGGCUCAACCUCGGGUCUGCAGUCGAUACGGGCAAACUGGAGUGUUGCAGGGGAGACUGGAAUUCCUGGUGUAGCGGUGAAAUGCGCAGAUAUCAGGAGGAACACCGGUGGCGAAGGCGGUUCUCUGGGCCUUACCUGACGCUGAGGAGCGAAAGCGUGGGGAGCAAACAGG
rnacentral:rRNA from 1 species